UGCGUAGGUGGCCUGGAAAGUUUGAUGUGAAAGCUCGGAGCUUAACUCCGAAAUGGCAUUGAAUACUACUGGGCUUGAGGGUCGGAGGGGAGACUGGAAUUCUCGGUGUAACAGUGAAAUGCGUAGAUAUCGAGAGGAACACCAGUGGCGAAGGCGAGUCUCUGGACGACCCCUGACACUGAGGCACGAAAGCUGGGAGCAAACA
rnacentral:rRNA from 1 species